UACAUCAUUUUAGGUCCCAGCUUCUCUGUGGUUGGUUUGGGAUUCACUGUUGUUGGGUUAGCCACACAGUGUCCCUCCUGUCAGUCUGCUUUCCAUCUUUCAAAAAGCUGUUGUUAUUGUCUUUUUCUCCCAUAUUGGUGUGUUUACAUCUUUUAAAAAUUUGGCUCCUAUCAUUUUGCCAAAUCAUCAGGUGGGAGAUAAUGUGUCCAUUCCAUUGAAUUUACUUGGAAUAUAUGUUUUCAACGUAGGGAAUUUGUUGAAGGGACCAGCAAUGAGAAGCAAGCCUGAAUCUUUGCACCUGUGGCACUGAUAACACCUUAGUGACUACUUAGAGUCCUUUUAAAAGCACAUUUAUAUUUUACAGGAUAAUACAUUUUAUAACUUUUACCACCUUAUUUCACUUAAAAUGUAUAAAGAGCAUUUUCCUACGUCAGUAUUCUGCACUUGAAAAAAAUUACACAAAAAUGUUAUUGUGUGAAGCGCAGAUGUGCAAAUAAAGAAAAAUCCCCCACAACCCCAGCAUCCAGAGGUAAUAAUCACUGUAACAUCUUGGUGUCUGUCAUUCUCACAGGUGGAUCUGUAUAUGAUAAGUACUUUAUUCCUGAACUAAAAAUGAAAUCUUUGCUUUGCAGGUGGAACAGCUACUUGUCCUAUACUUGAAGGAACAGUCCUGUGUAUGGUCAUCCCCAGUGCCUGUCCUGGAGGGACAGAAUUUCUCCACAUAUUUAGAACGCCCUAAGAGCUCCACAAAAUCCUCAUCGUGAGUGAUUACCAGAAGCUGGAAGUUACGCUGCUGCGAGCGACUCUUUAUUAUCCUGAAACAAUAUAUUGAGAACCUUUUAUUACUGAAGAGCAUAAAUAAUCCUCUCCUUUAUAUGAAAAAGACACUGAGAACCUUGUCAGACACAGGACAACCCUGGAGGAAACUGGAGAGGGGGAGCUGGACCCAGACCUUCAGCCCAGCCAGGACUCAGCUAUUAGCAGAGAACACCUGAAAAGCACCUGAACCUGAAUUAGCAGUAGAACACCUGAAAAGCAGACAUUCGAGAACAGGCCUUCAAACUCAGACUGGAACUAUACCAUUGGCUUCCCUUGGUCUCCAUCUUGCCAACUACAGAUCUUGGGAGUUCUCAGACUCUACAAUCACGUGAGCCAAUUCCUUAUAAUAAACUCCUUUAUAUAAAUUUGUAUAUAGGUAUA